rnacentral:rRNA from 1 species
UACGUAGGGGGCUAGCGUUAUCCGGAAUUACUGGGCGUAAAGGGUGCGUAGGUGGUUUCUUAAGUCAGAGGUGAAAGGCUACGGCUCAACCGUAGUAAGCCUUUGAAACUGAGAAACUUGAGUGCAGGAGAGGAGAGUAGAAUUCCUAGUGUAGCGGUGAAAUGCGUAGAUAUUAGGAGGAAUACCAGUUGCGAAGGCGGCUCUCUGGACUGUAACUGACACUGAGGCACGAAAGCGUGGGGAGCAAACAGGAUUAGAUACCCGUGUAGUCCCUGA